AAUUUCCCCAAAGUGUUGCCAUCAAGUCUGCAGACUCAGAAUUUCACCAUUUCAUUUCAUCAAUUUUCAGAGCUUAUUGAGUUACUUUGUGUUUCUUGUCUUCCAAAACAGUGUGCUCUUCCUGCAGUGCUCUUUUAUUUGGAAGAACCCAAUGCAGGGCCCCCAGGAGUCAGAGGAAAAAGCCUUCCCGUAAUGAACCAGUGUGAGCAAUAUAGGAAAAAUGUGGUGCAAAGCUGGCAGAAAAGCAAGCUCUAGUUUUCCUUCUUCUAAAGGAUUAUAUCAAACAGGUUUAAAAUAAUGGAUAGUAUCUGGUCUCUCGGCAUGUGGAGGCAGAAAGGUGACUGCCACCAAUGAGAUAAUGUCAUGCGGACUGGAUAUAUUGUAAAACACUCCAAAUGUUAUGCACAUAAGUUAGCGUACUUGGUCCUGAGGAACAAAAUGGACCAAAGCAAGUUAUAAAUGGGCGUUGAGACUCAAGGGUUAAAUGAAAACAGCUAAGAAACCAUGAGGCAAACACAUAGCCCAGCUACUCUUCCUUGUGAACAUCGCCAGCUUUUCCUGAUGUCUUUAAAAAUGCUCUGAAGAUGUAGCAAGUAGCAUCUGAGCAAAGUAGGUGAGGAUUCGCAUCUGCAAAGGAAACUCCUGGGGGUAACUAAUGAUUCAGCAAGAAGUAUGCAGAGAUAGAAUUGGAUCAUUUUUACAAAGAGAUACCUGAUUGAUGUCACACAGACACCAUCAAAUCCACUUUUCUUUGCCUGAUUAAUAGAAGCCCCAAAGAACUGUUUAGAUCAGACUGUUGACUUGGGCCUCAGCUGAAUCCACUAUAGGCAAUGCUAUUUCACCCAAUUAAAGUUCUUCAGUAGAGAAUGAAGGACAGUCCCUUGUAUCUGGCCAAGUGUUUGUUCCUGAAGGAGUCCAGGGGCUUCCAAACUUAUCUGGCCACGAGGAGCUCAAGAAAAGAAACAUUCUGCUUUCCACCCUCAAGUUGUUCAUCUUAGAGUUAGCCGGGGACAAAGGUUUUCUGUUGUGAUUUGUUUUCCUUUUUUUUUUUUUUUUCUGUUUCAAAGUUUUUGUCUGAGAGUCCAGAACUUAAAAGAUGACUCCAUUUUGCAAGAAAACCAUGUCUAAGUUACAGCAUCCUUAGGGGGAGGGAUCCUAACUGACUUCUCACCCAGGAUCUCUAUUUUUGUUGUUUGAGUUUGUUACCCGGCGCGGGCACGCGCACACAGGCAGAUAGUGAAAUUCUGCUACAAGUGCUGAAGAGGUGGGAAAAAGUCAUUCAAAUUCUGCGAUGUUUAUGGCUCAUUCUUCCUUAAGAAACUGAGUUACUUCCAGUUCUUAGCCCCCAGCCCCGCACCCGCGCCCGUGGAAGGCAGAAAGCCAACGCUUGAGUAACGUGGCAAUGCAUUUUAAGAAGAAUCAGCUCCUCGGAAGUGGGGAGAAAAUAUAUUACUGGACUUUGCAGAGGCCAACACGCCCCAGCAGGUUUGGGAGGAAAAGAAGGAGAAAACUGACAAGGUGAGAAGAACAGAUGUGCUCAGGGGGAGGACGGUGGUCUGUGAACCUCCAGGAAAAUGAAUGGUGGAAGGAGGGGACGGCUCACCACCUGGUGUCUCAGAGUGGCAAGGAGACUGUCACUGAAAGAGCAGAAAGAAAGCUAUAAUAUUCUUCCUAGGAAUCUGGGCUUUUCUCAUCAAUGGCCUGAGCUUCCUAAGUGUGCUUCACAGGGAUGGGGGCUGGUACUAGGGAGGAGAGAGAAAGAGGAAGCCGGGCUUAGUUCUCUAGCCCCACAUCCCUAAGGAGCAGACUUAGUGGCCAUGGAAAGGCGACAGUACAAAGAGCUGAUGGGGUCCCCAGAGCUCCAGCUGGGGGUGGGUUUACACCCAGGUGUCUGCGUUUUAAUGUCAGAUCAUCGAAUUCAUUCAGUCAUUCAGUCGUGUCCGACUCUUUGUGACCCCAUGGACUGCAGCACGCCAGGCUUCCCUGUCCA